rnacentral:rRNA from 1 species
AUUGAACGCUGGCGGCAGGCCUAACACAUGCAAGUCGAGCGGAGCGGCGGACGGGUGAGUAAUGCCUAGGAAUCUGCCUGGUAGUGGGGGAUAAAGUCCGGAAACGGGCGCUAAUACCGCAUACUAUCAGAUGAGCCUAUGUCGGAUUAGCUAGUUGGUGGGGUAAAGGCCUACCAGUGCGACGAUCCGUAACUGGUCUGAGAGGAUGGUCAGUCACACUGGAACUGUUACCCGGUCCAGCUUCCUACGGGAGGCAGCAGUGGGGAAUAUUGGACAAUGGGCGAAAGCCUGAUCCAGCCAUGCCGCGUGUGUGAAGAAGGUCUUCGGAUUGUAAAGCACUUUAAGUUGGGAGGCGUUACCAACAGAAUAAGCACCGGCUAAAGAAGAGCCAGCAGCCGCGGUAAUUC